rnacentral:rRNA from 1 species
CAGUAGCCGCGGUAAUACGUAGGGUCCGAGCGUUGUCCGGAAUUAUUGGGCGUAAAGGGCUCGUAGGCGGUUUGUUGCGUCGGGAGUGAAAACCCAGGGCUUAACUUUGGGCUUGCUUUCGAUACGGGCAGACUUGAGGCAUUGAGGGGAGAACGGAAUUCCUGGUGUAGCGGUGAAAUGCGCAGAUAUCAGGAGGAACACCGGUGGCGAAGGCGGUUCUCUGGCAAUGUUCUGACGCUGAGGAGCGAAAGUGUGGGGAGCGAACAGGAUUAGAUACCCCCGUAGUCCCUGUCUCUUAUAC